rnacentral:misc_RNA from 1 species
ACUCCUCCACUCGUCUACUUUUGUAGUCAAGCUGGGACUUGGGGGUUUUUGUGGGUGGUAUUCUCCUCCCACUCCCCUUGAAUACAUUAGUGAAGGACCCAUAUGGUUGGGGCCCCUCGGUGUGAUAAUAGACCAUCUACAUCGUAGGGCCUAACCUUUCAACGGGACUUUUGCUUCCAACCGUCCUCGGACAACUUUGUUUUUCGA